AAUUAACCCAACAGCAAGCGAAAGACGGUGGUGGAAAUCGCGAAGCUCAAAUGAUCCUAUAGCUCAACUCGCCAAACAUCUGCGAGACUUAGGAAUCUUUUUCAUAAAUCUCUUCUCCAUGGAUUUUAGCCAGGUAAAGUGGACAUUUCUCUUCAGAUCUAUAAUCUCUUUCUGCUCCUGAUCUAUAAUCCCUUGAUUUUUAAUCAUUUAUUUCAGAUACAAUAGAUCUGUGAUUGUAUUUUCAAUGAACUGCUCUUACUGAAUUGCUAAUAAUCCUUUUCUCUGCACCGCGUGUUUAAGCUCAUGCAUGUUCUCAGAUGUUUAAUAUCUCUGAAUGCUUAUGAGGGAUUAUCAAAGGCUUUCUGGGCUUUAAUUGCGUCACUAGAUUUAGUUUCUAGCUGGUCUUGAGCACCACUUUUAGUCUUUUCAAUAUUUAGGCUUGUAAUUUUCGAAAUUAGACCCAAGUAUUUUGUUUAUGCUUGGUAAGAAGGUUGGUAGUCUAUGUAAAUUAGAAACCCUGGUCGAUUACUGAAAACACCUGUUCAUUUGUUGGGCUUAACCUUUUUCAUUCUUUCCUUCUUUAUUUGUUUGUUUUAUUUUGCUAUAUCUAUCUUUCUCUCUGUAGCCUGCAGGCGAAAACUAUGCCAAUCCAAAGACAUGCUUCUUUCAUGUGCUCUUCAAGGCUGCAGCUCUGGCAUUCUACAUACUCUCAGCUCUGUUUUUUAAUAACUUUGUUAUUAUCUUUGUGGUAACCGUUGUUCUUGCUGCCCUUGAUUUUUGGGUGGUGAAGAAUGUGAGCGGCCGGAUCCUAGUUGGGCUUAGGUGGUGGAAUGAGAUAAAUGAGGAGGGUGAGAGUGUAUGGAAGUUUGAAUGUCUUGAUCAACAGGUUUGAAACACAUUGAGGAUGAGUUUGUUAUUUUUUUUUUAAAUCUCCCAUUACUAGACAGUUACUUUUGGAUCAUCACUUAUGCAGUUAUACUUCAUAUAAUUCCACACAUCUCAUGAUUUCCAUCUAUUUUUGUGAUUUUAUGCAGUCGUUGGCUCGUAUGAAUAAGAAGGAUUCAUGGCUAUUUUGGUGGACAUUAUACCUUACUGCAGCUGCUUGGAUCGUACUUGGAAUAUUUUCAAUUAUAAGGUUCGAGGUUGAUUAUGUCCUGGUAGUGGGAGUUUGUUUGAGCCUCAGCAUUGCAAACAUUAUUGGGUUCACCAAAUGUCGCAAAGAUGCCAAGAAGCAGAUUCAAGCAUUUGCCUCCCAGACUAUUGCUUCUCAUUUCUCAUCUACCAUACAGUCUGCAUUUAGUGUAGUGUGAGUUUCCUGAACCGGAAAGGUUAUCCGAAUACAUCAUUCUGUUUGCUUAACUAAGAUGCUACUAUCGACAUUAGACUUUUUUGUUUGUUUUCUAUCUUCAUUGUGGCAACAACUUUGGAAUUUCGAAAUCUGUUUUAUUUUUGGAAGCUGCAAGGACAAUGUGAUGUAGGCAUGUAAAGAAGAGAAGAGGAUAAAAUUGUAAAGAUAUUAAAAGGUUUUUGGAAUGUACAUGAUUUUAUAAUCAAAUUUUG
rnacentral:misc_RNA from 1 species